rnacentral:misc_RNA from 1 species
GUUCCGUUCUCCAUGGGACGUCGACUUUAAGCACUCGACGUGGAAAAGUGCAAAUGGCGAUCAGUGAAAUAUCUCUCUCGUUCGCUCAUUCGCAAAUUAUUUACUGUGUUAGUGCAUAUGUACAUGUAGCUUGUGCUUAUACAGCUCAAUACGGUUAAUGUAAAGGCUGAGUACUGAAUUUUCACAAUGUCUUGUGGGUAUUCAAUUUGUCAGCAAUACUCAUGAAGAAGGUACAAUUGCAUUGAUUUAUCGAUCAUGGUUUACGCCUCUGAAAAGUCAAGUCUGGUGGCCUCCAUACAAGACUAGUGUUCAAUUUAAAAAAGCACUUGUUUACUGAAGAACAAGUAAACGAAAAUACAUGGGCAUUGUAUGAGGUGAAACGUAUAUUUUUUACUUGUGAUGAAUUUGAUAAGGCCUUUGAAAAACUAAAAGAAUGUGAAGAAGUGUCUGAUUUACAAUCUACUGAAGUAGAAGAUGACGUACAAAGUAAGAAAACGCAAACCAAAUUUAAAAUAUGUCAUAAGUAGUGAAGACGAAUACGAUGAAAACUGUGAUUCUCUACAGCCAUCAGCAAAACUUGAUAAAUCAGAGAUUGUGUAUUACAAGAAAUACCUACUAAUUCUUUUGCAAGUUACACAAAUAACGAUGCAUCUAUAAUUGCUCCAACUAUUAACACUAGAACAAAAGUUACUAAUUCUACGCUUAUAAAUAAAAAUGAAAAUUAUACGAAGCAGGUUGCAGAAAAAGGUAAGCGUCAUUGCUUAAUAUAUAUGUUGUUCGCACUUUGAGUGAAUUAAAA